rnacentral:rRNA from 1 species
CAACCUGCCGUCUACUCUUGGCCAGCCUUCUGAAAGGAAGAUUAAUCCAGGAUGGCAUCAUGAGUUCACAUGUCCGCAUGAUUAAAGGUAUUUUCCGGUAGACGAUGGGGAUACGUUCCAUUAGAUAGUAGGCGGGGUAACGGCCCACCUAGUCAACGAUGGAUAGGGGUUCUGAGAGGAAGGUCCCCCACAUUGGAACUGAGACACGGUCCAAACUCCUACGGGAGGCAGCAGUGAGGAAUAUUGGUCAAUGGGCGAUGGCCUGAACCAGCCAAGUAGCGUGAAGGAUGACUGCCCUAUGGGUUGUAAACUUCUUUUAUAAAGGAAUAAAGUCGGGUAUGCAUACCCGUUUGCAUGUACUUUAUGAAUAAGGAUCGGCUAACUCCGUGCCAGCAGCCGCGGUAAUACGGAGGAUCCGAGCGUUAUCCGGAUUUAUUGGGUUUAAAGGGAGCGUAGAUGGAUGUUUAAGUCAGUUGUGAAAGUUUGCGGCUCAACCGUAAAAUUGCAGUUGAUACUGGAUGUCUUGAGUGCAGUUGAGGCAGGCGGAAUUCGUGGUGUAGCGGUGAAAUGCUUAGAUAUCACGAAGAACUCCGAUUG